GACAUGGCUCAGGAUGAACGCUGGCGGCGUGCCUAAUACAUGCAAGUCGAACGCUUCACUUCGGUGAAGAGUGGCGAACGGGUGAGUAAUACAUAAGUAACCUGGCAUCUACAGGGGGAUAACUGAUGGAAACGUCAGCUAAGACCGCAUAGGUGUAGAGAUCGCAUGAACUCUAUAUGAAAAGUGCUACGGGACUGGUAGAUGAUGGACUUAUGGCGCAUUAG
rnacentral:rRNA from 1 species